rnacentral:pre_miRNA from 10 species
UCUCAGGCUGUGACCCUCUAAAGGGAAGCACUUUCUGUUGUCUGGAAGAAAAGGAUGCGCUUCCCCUUAGAGGGUUACCCUUUG